rnacentral:rRNA from 1 species
GACGUAGGGCGCGAGCGUUGUCCGGAAUUAUUGGGCGUAAAGAGCUCGUAGGCGGUCUGUUACGUCUGCUGUGAAAACCCUGGGCUUAACCCUGGGCUUGCAGUGGAUACGGGCAGACUAGAGGCAGGUAGGGGAGAAUGGAAUUCCCGGUGUAGCGGUGAAAUGCGCAGAUAUCGGGAGGAACACCGGUGGCGAAGGCGGUUCUCUGGGCCUGACCUGACGCUGAGGAGCGAAAGCGUGGGGAGCGAACAGG